rnacentral:rRNA from 1 species
UACGUAGGAGGCAAGCGUUGUCCGGAAUUACUGGGCGUAAAGCGCGUGUAGGUGGUGGGACAAGUCUGCUGUGAAAGCGCCUGGCUUAACCGGGCGAGGUUGGCGGAAACUGUCCGACUCGAGGACGGUAGAGGGGGUGGAAUUCCCGGUGUAGUGGUGAAAUGCGUAGAGAUCGGGAGGAACACCUGUGGCGAAGGCGGCUCUCUGGA